GUUGGCAGCUAGCUCUCUGCAACUCUCACAUAGUCACCCACUGAAGCUAAGCAAGGCUGCGCUUGGUUAGUACCUUGAUGGGAGAGCACAUGGGAAAGCUAGGUUGGUGCCAGAA
ensembl:rRNA 5S_rRNA 5S ribosomal RNA